AUUGAACGCUGGCGGCAUGCCUUACACAUGCAAGUCGAACGGCAGCACGGGAGCAAUCCUGGUGGCGAGUGGCGGAAGGGUGAGUAAGAUAUCGGAACGUGCCCAGUCGUGGGGAUAACGCAGCGAAAGCUGUGCUAAUACCGCAUACGAUCUAUGGAUGAAAGCGGGGGACCGCAAUGCCUUGCGGGCUUGGAGCGGCCGGUAUCAGAUUAGCUAGUUGGUGGGGUAAAGGCCCACCAAGGCGACGAUCUGUAGCUGGUCUGAGAGGACGACCAGCCACACUGGAACUGAGACACGGUCCAGACUCCUACGGGAGGCAGCAGUGGGGAAUUUUGGACAAUGGGCGCAAGCCUGAUCCAGCAAUGCCGCGUGCAGGAUGAAGGCCUUCGGGUUGUAAACUGCUUUUGUACGGAACGAAACGGUGAGCUUUAAUACAGUUUGCUAAUGACGGUACCGUAAGAAUAAGCACCGGCUAACUACGUGCCAGCAGCCGCGGUAA
rnacentral:rRNA from 1 species